UCAAGGUCUUCAUCAACCCUUUAAUAUAUUGUGUUAGGUAAAGGCUGCUUCUAAUACUAGUUUGCAACAAAAAGGUGGUUGAUCUUCAAAUCAUAUUACUUUCUCAUCAUGGCUGAAAUUCUUUACGGGCUUGCUGCUGAAAUCUUGAAAAACUUGGCUUCUCUUGCAGCUCAAGAAGUAGGAUCAAUUCGAGGACUAAGCGAUGAGCUUAGCAACCUUUCUGGUACAGUUUCUUCAAUCCAAUCUGUACUAAUUGACGCGGAGGAGCAGCAGGGGAAUAGCCAUGAGGUGAGGGAUUGGUUAAGGAAACUUAAAACAGUUUUCUUUGAGGCUGAUGAUCUCUUGGAUGACUUUGCAACUGAAGUCACGCAUCGAAAAUUGGUGAGUAAGGUAAGCAUCUUCUUCUCAAAGUCAAAUCCUGUGCUUUAUAAUGUUAAGAUAAGUAAGCGUCUCAAGGUCAUUCGAGAAAAUUUAGAUGUAAUUGCAAAAGAUAAGGCCUACUUAAACCUUGUUGAAAGGAGGCAACCAUUGCUUCUUGAGUCUAAUUUGGAUAGAGAGACUUAUUCAUUUGUGCCUGAUGGAGAAGUCAUUGGAAGGAAUGAUAAUAAAAGGGAAAUUCUAGAUUUUCUUAUGGAUUCUAAGGUUAAUGAGAAUGUUGCGGUAAUAUCAGUUGUUGGCCUUGGUGGACUAGGAAAGACCACUCUCACGCAAUCGGUGUAUAAUAGUGAAAAUGGUUCGGAAAAGAUUUGAUAAAAGAUUGUGGGUUUGUGUUUCAGAUGUUUUUGAAGUGAAAGUGAUUGCAGAAAAAAUCGUAGAAUCUGCAGGAGGGGAGAAGGCUAAUUACCUUCAACUAGAUGCUGUGCAAAACCAGCUUCGAGAAAUGCUUGAUGGGAAGAAAUAUCUACUGGUGCUCGAUGAUGUGUGGAACGAAGAUGCCUUGAAAUGGUCGAGAUUGAAAAAUAUGUUGAUCGGUGGAGCCAAGGGAAGUAAGAUUUUAGUAACUACUCGUUCAAAUGUAGUUGCGGAAGUUUCAGGUAGUGUUCGCCAACAUAAAUUAGGGGACCUCUCAAAAGAAGAGGCAUGGGCAUUGCUUGAAAAAAUGGCGUUCGAAUGUACCAAAGAGAGUGAAAAUUCGAGUUUGGUGGAAAUAGGAAAGGAAAUUGUGAAAAAGUGUGGAGGAGUUCCUCUUGCAAUAAGGUCAAUAGGAAGCCUACUACGCCUAAAAAGAACGGAGGAUGAGUGGAUAUAUUUCAAGAAUCAAGAUUUGUCAAGUAUCACACGAGGAGAUGACAGUGUCAUGGCCAUUUUGAUAUUGAGCUAUAAUCACCUUCCUCACCAUUUAAAGAUAUGCUUCGCAUACUGUUCCCUCUUUCCAAAAGAUUUCCGAAUUGACAGAGUUGAUUUGAUUGAUAUGUGGAUCGCUCAAGGCUUUAUUCAAUCAACUACUAGCAACAGAGACAGUGUGGAAGACGAUGCAAAUUCAUAUUUCGUGGAUUUGUUAAGAAGGUCAUUCUUUCAAGAAACUGAAGAGCAUCAUUUUUAUCCGCAUUGUUACAAAAUGCACGAUCUUAUUCAUGAUCUCGCAAAAGAAGUUGCAGAUAGAGAGCUCUUCUGUAUCACUAAAACAGAUGAUACAGAGAUUGUCCCAGAACAAGCGCUCCAUGCUUCUUGUUUAUUCCAGAUUAAUGAUUCAUUGGAAUUUCCCGAACCCUUCUAUGCGAAGCAUAUGAAGUUGCGGACAUUUAUUUACCUAAAUGGGUCUCCAUACAGUGUUAUGAGCAAUUCAACGUUAGAGAGAAUGCUUGCAAGUUUUAAAUGUUUACGCGUUCUGCAUCUAUGUCACCUGCAGAUAAAAAUUCUGCCUCAAUCUUUAGGUGGACUGAAGCAUCUAAGAUAUCUUGCUAUUUCCUCUAGAAGCAUUGUUACUUUACCAAAUUCCAUCACGAAGUUGCAUAAUCUACAAGUUUUAAAGUUGGUUAAUUGCAUUAAACUCAAAAAAUUGCCAAGAGAUAUUUGGAGAUUGGUGAGCCUUCGAAGUUUGAUAUGUUCGUGGUGCCAAUCAUUAACCCAUAUUCCACCAGGACUGUGGCAGUUGGCAAGUGUAACGCAUUUGGAUUUUGAUGGUUGCGGUUCAUUGGAAGAUAUGCCACCUGGAAUUGGCCAAUUGACAUCUCUACGGACAUUGAAAAGUUUUGUUGUAGGCAAAGAAAGUUGUAUAUCUGGUUUGGCAAGUGACAAGUUGAAUGAAUUUAAGGGCCUUGCUGAUCUCAGAAAUAGAUUACACAUUAAGUUCAUGGGACGAGCCCGUGCAAUUGGAGAAAGAAUACCUACCGAUGUAGUGAAAAGAAUGAAACAUCUUCGGAAGCUGUUUGUAGAGUUCGAAUAUGGAAAUCAAGAGGAUGAUACUGGAGCUGAUCUGAUAAUGUUGGAGGCCCUGCAGCCGCACCAAAACAUUGAAAGCUUGCAAAUAGAAAAUUAUAGUGGAUCAAGCUUCCCAAGUUGGUUGAUGGUUGAUAAUCUUGGCUUUUUGCUACCCAAGCUUGUUUAUCUAAACAUCAGAGAUUGUCAUAAAUGCCAAAAGCUCCCACCAUUAUGGCGACUGCCUUCUCUCGAAGAUCUUGUACUCCAUUGGAAUCUUGACGUCGUGGAGAGCAUAGAAGGUGGUGAUGAUAAAUUCAUGCUACCAUCAAAUUCUCCUACAUAUGAGUGCUACUUCCCUUCCCUAAAACAACUUUAUUUGGGGAUAAUAAGUGAGAAGAUAUUGAAACAAAUUCUUUGCCCACCUCCUCAUCCUUCUCCUCUUUUCAAUGUAAAUAGCUUGAGUCUAUUUUCUAUCGAGGGCCUAGCAACUAUGCCAGAGGAUUCGUUCAAGUGUCUCACUUCGCUCCAAUCCUUGUUUAUUAGUAACUGCAGAAAUCUGGUCUCUCUAUCCACAUGUCUAACUCAUCUCACUUCCCUCGAGUUUUUAUGUAUUGAGAAUUGCCCUCUGCUUGAUUUGUCGAACAAAGAAGCAAUGCAAUUUGAUGUCCCGGGGAAUUUAUUGACUUUCAGUGUUAACAUGCUUGACAAGCUAAUGUCGCUUCCAGUUUGGCUCCAACAUUUCUCGGGUACUUUGAAGUUUAUAGUGAUUCGGGGAUGUCCUAACUUCACAACAAUACCAGAAUGGAUAGGCGACCUCAUUGCCCUUAAUCGAUUGGAAAUUGAUGUUUCACCUAUGUUGACAUCCUUUCCAGAAGGCCUGCGAUCUCUCUCAGCAUUGGAAAUGCUAAUUGUUACAAGAUGUUCAUCAAGUCUGAAGCAAAGAUGCGAGAAGGAAGGAGGAGAGGACUGGCCUAAGAUUGCUCACAUCCCAAGAGUCGACAUAAAAGAAGGGAUUUGAUUACAGGCUGCAAGUUGAGGCUUGAAGCAAUGUCUGGAUAGAAGGAUGAGUAAGCAUGAGUUUGCCAGUGGCGCCAAAAGGCGGGUGAAGGUCAAGGUGCUGAACACCAGUUUCUCAAAAGGUUCGAACCCAAAAAAUGAAUUGGUUGGUGAAAAGUGAAAACCAUGAGGUUAAGGAAGGAAGCUGGAGUUUCCACUCUGUUCUUGGGAGAUUUUAGUCACUUAAGAAGUUGCCAAUUCUGCAGAAUUACUAUGAAGCUUCAAUUUCUAUGAUUCUUGACUGUGUUAGCCCUUGAAGUAAAGUGGACAGUGGACACUGCUUUAUCGUCUAUCUGUUUGUUUUUACUUCCCUGAUGAGUUGAGACUUGAGAUAAUUUUCAUUUUGUUGGAUAAAAAUUUCACUUUUGUUGUUACUGCUA